ensembl:lncRNA
GAAAAAAUCACAAAAACUUCUGUGGAUCUUGACAGGGUGUUUGUAGGUGUUGACGAAGGAGCUUAUCGUCAUGGUAACUAUAAGUAGAAAAAUCAUUCAAGGAAAAAAAUGUGAGGAAGCGAAAAACUGUUGCUUUUCUUUUUGUUUUCCGAGUCUGCCUUUUUUCCCCUGACAAGAAAAAGGGCUGCUCGAGUUUGAAGAAUGUCAAAAUAAAUAAUUAAUUGUAUUGUAUUAAAAGAUGCAAGAUGAGAUGAAAUACAUGUUUGAGGAUGUCUGUGUUCUUCACAGUGAAGUGUCGGUUAAUUGCUGGAUCCCAGUGAGACAGUUGGCGAGAGAACACUGUGUGUCGGAAUACCUGCCUGGACGGAAUCAAAGUCAAAUAUGUAACUGACAAAAUCAAAUUAUUUCUUCACAUUGAAUCAAGUUCCUUCAUCUUAAAAACGAGAAAAAACAGUUUCUCAAUUGAUAAUACACAAAUACAUUUAUAUUUCAUCAAAUUAGAUGAUGACUCAAAAUUUUCAUCAAUAUAUCACCAGUGGAAAAAAUGUCCCAGGUUACUGACACACAUUGCCUUGCCCUGAUUCCCGUCUACUGCCACCAUCCCUGUAAACACGAACGUCUACAAGUGCAUGUUCUUCUGGCCUUCGGUAGAGAAUAGACUGCUUCUUUAAAAGCUCCCAGACAUAUCUGCCAACACCAGUAGCGUUACAGAAGGAAGCCAAUUGAGUCAGAAGUUGUGUGAAAAGUAGACCAAUUGUUUACAUUAAAAAGUACAAUAAAUGCAAAACCACUCGUUCCCAGCGCCCCUCUGCGGGACAUGAGUGAGGAUCCCCAGGGAGACCGGGAUUGUUGGCUGAUGUUCCCUGGAAAACCAAAGGGUCGAUCGUACUCUCUGGGCAUCCAUCCCAAUACUUAGAAAAAGCGUUUUUCUUACUUGUCCUCCUCACUCAAUUAAACUCAAAUUACGCUUACGUGAGCAAAAUAAUAAAAAGGUAUGUUAGGCCUUUCAAGACGAAGUUUGAACAGCAAAAGGGAUGUUGAAGGGAAAUGUAAUGUUAUGUAGCAUCACAAGUCUAAAUUAUUAGAGUUGUAUUUUUUAUUUAGCUAAACACUAUUUGUUUCGUUGCUCACUCAUUGACUUAUCUGAUACCACAGGUUUAAUCUUUAUUGUAAGUCGGCACGGGCAGCAGUUGGAAAUAUAAUACAAAAAUGAAAGAGGAGACAAGGAAAGGCAACUAUACUUUUCAGUAUUGUGUAACGUGCCGUAUUGUAGUAUUCUUUUGGGCCCCCACAUCAUGGCAGGAGCAUGCAGAGGAACGACUCAACAAAAUGGAGCCUGUGUCUCCGAACGAGACAGAGCUCGACCUCUCGUCCCCUCCCCCACCUUCCUCCCCCUUCAAUCUGAGAUGUAAUGAAUAUUUUGUAUGAAAGAGAUGUUAAAUGUGAUUAACUGUUUAGUGGUGUG